UACGUAGGGGGCAAGCGUUAUCCGGAAUUACUGGGUGUAAAGGGUGAGUAGGCGGUUAUGUAAGCCAUAUGUGAAAGUCUGUAGCUCAACUAUAGAAUUGCAUAAGGAACUGUGUAACUAGAGUGCAGGAGAGGUAAGUGGAAUUCAUAGUGUAGCGGUGAAAUGCGUAGAUAUUAGGAGGAACACCAGUGGCGAAGGCUACUUACUGGACUGAAACUGACGCUGAGACACGAAAGCGUGGGGAGCAAACAGG
rnacentral:rRNA from 1 species